CUCAACCACAAUCUUUUGAAAUGCGUGGCUCAUUCUCCCUCCAAAGCAUUGUACAGUCUCACGAAAAAGUCCAUAUCUUGAUAUUGGAGUGUCCAAAUGACGACCGGCUUAGUUUUGUAAAAAGAUGACAUCGAAGGCUACGACAUAUCCAAAAAUCAAACCAAAACUCCUUCUGGAUUGACGGGAGUUAUUUUUCAAGUUGAACUCGUUUUCUUCUCUCAGCACUGUGCAGUCACACGGAAAACUCCAUAUUUUGAAAUUUGAGUCCAAAUGACGAGCGGCUUGUUUCUGUAAAAAUAAAACAUAGAAGACUACGAGAUAUCCAAAAAUCAAAUAGAAACUCCUUCUGGAUUGACAUAAAUUAUUUUUGAAAUCAGCGAUACAAUUUGACAUACCUGACUUUGGACUGCAUUCAUGAGCACACUUCUUUUUUUUUUUCUUUUUUUUUUUGUGUAUCUUCCUUUUUUUUUUUUUUGUAGGUUUGCAUGAAGGUGUAAAUGGUCUCUAUUUCGAAUCGAGAAGAUACACACGACGUCACAAACCGCUCCCGAAGCCACGAAGAUCAAACAAAAUUCCUGCGGUGCUGGAAGGCCCUUCAUACUUCAUCAUCGUUGAUUAGCGAGCAGCUACUUGGUCGUCCGUCCGACUUCAAUGAAACUUGAUGUAUCAUUCUGUCCGGCUUUGACUAGAAGCAACUUAAUGCAUAUAUCCUUUCUUGGUUUAUAAAGGAGCACAAAUGGUCUUGAUAUCAUACCAAGAAGAUGUCCACGUGAUCUGUGAGGAAUCACUUGGUGUGUCCACCAUUGUAGUAAUUUUUGCGGACACAACUUGGAGCCUCCAUUUUCCUUGUGGCGUUGAUAGAGCAAUUACAUGGUGUAUCUCUUCCUUGCGGCUUAAAGAGAUUGACACUCAGAGUAGUCCUUUCCAACCUUGGCGAGAAAGUUGAUGGUGCAUCUCCCUCUUUAGCUUGGCGGAAGAGACACUUGAAUUACCUUUUUUUUUUUUGCAGUUAUGUCGAGCAAGUACAUGAACUAAGUAGAUUUGCCCUUAGACAGAGUGAGUAGACCCAUACAUGCACCAAGAUCCAUCUACUAUGAAGAAGUUGAUGUAAGAAGAUCGUCAUGGAAAAAUGCUCCUUCCUCCAAAGUUGUAGAAUCUUAUCUUUAGAUUCUCCAAGCGUGUGAAAGGGAGCAAAGGAAACAUUGUGCAAGCAACUUUUCUUUGGCUUCGCAUUGAAGGGAUGGGUCUUUUUUUUUACUCAUGUGAAUGUAAUUAGAAGAAAAUUUUAAAUUGCCUACGUACCUCGGUAAAGUGGAUCAAGUCAUUACGUGACUCAGAAAGAGUAUCUUAUUUGAGUUUUUUUUUUUUUUUUUUUUUUGCAUGCAGUUUAACUCGUGCAUCAUGGAGUGUUGAAACGUAUAGUUUAAGCUUAUGCGGAAAGGAGCAUAGUAGCUUGCAGUUGAGGCUCGUGUUUCAAGGAGCAUUGCAACUUGCAGUUAAGGUUUGUGCAUCGAGGAGCAUUGCGAUGUGUAGUUUAAGCUAGUGCAUCAAGGAGCAGUUCAGGAAAGAAUUACAAUAAUGUAACUGGAUUUCGAACCCUUUGUUAUGAAGCAUUGUUUUAUCAAUUCUUCCGUUAGACUUUGUGCUUCUCCAUGUUUGCAGAUGAUGUGUGGUUGCU